rnacentral:rRNA from 1 species
GUCUUUUUGAAAUAAUUUAAAGUCUAAUCUGCCCACUGAUAAAAUUAAAGGGCUGCAGUAUAAUGACUGUACAAAGGUAGCAUAAUCAUUAGUUUUUUAAUUGGAAACUUGUAUGAAAGAUUUGAUGAAAUAUAAACUGUCUCUAAUUUAUUAAUUGAAUUUUAUUUUUUAGUAAAAAAGCUAAAAUAAAUUUAAAAGACGAGAAGACCCUAUAGAGUUUUAUAUUUUAUUUUAUUUAAAAAUUAUAUAAAAAUUAAUAUUUAAAUAAAAUUAAUUAUUUUAUUGGGGUGAUAGAAAAAUUAAAUGAACUUUUUUUAAAAAUUAAACAUAAAUAAAUGAUUAAAUGAUCCAUAAAUAAUGAUUAUAAGAAAAAAUUACCUUAGGGAUAACAGCGUAAUAUUUUUUUUUAGUUCAAAUAAAAAAAAAAGUUUGCGACCUCGAUGUUGGAUUAAGAUAAAAUUUAAAUGCAAAAGUUUAAAAUUUUGAUCUGUUCGAUCAUUAAAAUCUUACA